UAGCCUGGCCAACAUAGAGAAACUCUGUCUCUACUAAAAAUACAAAGUUAGCUGGGCGUUGUGGCACGUGCCUGUAAUCCCAGCUGCUUGGGAGGCUGAGGCAAGAGAAUUGCUUGAACCCAGGAGGUGGAGGUUGCAGUGCUCCGAGAUU
rnacentral:snoRNA from 1 species